GGCUGGUCAGAGCACCACCCACCCUGGCCUUGAACAGUGCCAGGGAUGGCAGUAAAAUGUUAAUAAUGGCUGAGUGUCUGUGCUCAGAAAGCUCUUCUCCCUCAACCUGCUAGAUCUCUUGCCAAGCUGUCCUCAUCCUAUGAACCACUGUCAAGCAAACCAACUCUUCCCUGCAGCUCAGGCCUGCAUGGACAGGGAAAUUUCAGCUAGAGGCAUCCUAAUUUUUCCCAGUGUUUUACAGAAGCCUCACAAAAUCAUUAACCUGUAGGCAGCAGCCAGGAUCUCAAAGUCCAGCACAGGACCUGGUGAGUGCUACAGAGCCUCAGAAGAAGACUGAACCCAAGCUGCCUUCAAAGCAAAUUUGAGACCAGAAGGAAGCAAACAUGAAACAUGAGAAGUUCAGCUCUCUGCUCCUGUAUGACAAACAGGACUUACAGAAAAUCCCACUAGAAAGGGCUGACUGACAAUGUCCAGUGACAAAAAUGGAGGGAAAACGCAGGCAGCCUCAUGUUAUUUUCUUUAUCUACCAAGCUGAAUAUUUUCCCUUCUGGUUACUGCUUCAGAAUCCUUGACUCUGAAAAAGAGUCUGGAGAUGAGCAAUCCAGCACCACAAGAAGCCAAAGGAGACAUGUCCAUUCUCUUCAUCAAAGUUUGGUGCAAGCCUUUGGUUUGCAUCCCACAUGACAUACUCUACUCAUGGGAGUAACAUUAUGAUCUGCUCACCGAGACACUGAAAUUUAUGUGUGAAAAGAAUGGCAUCAAAACUAAGUAUUGCCACCUAAACCAAAAUGAAGGUGCACAAAACAGAAACAAGGUAAUGUGUGUGCCAUUAAAAUCCUGACACCAGAUGCCAGAAGUAGCUUGAAUUUGCUGAGGUACUCCUGCUGUUCCUUUUCAUCAGGCAUGGGGAAAUACUGCUUUUGCAGAUAAACAUUGUGAUGUGGUGAAUGUCCAGAAUUUAAUGAAGUCCAUUAUAACAGAUGAAAA